UACGUAGGGUGCAAGCGUUGUCCGGAAUUAUUGGGCGUAAAGAGCUCGUAGGCGGUUCGUCGCGUCGGCUGUGAAAUCCCGAGGCUCAACCUCGGGUCUGCAGUCGAUACGGGCGGACUGGAGUACUGCAGGGGAGACUGGAAUUCCUGGUGUAGCGGUGGAAUGCGCAGAUAUCAGGAGGAACACCGAUGGCGAAGGCAGCUCGCUGGGACGGUACUGACGCUGAGGCGCGAAAGCGUGGGGAGCGAACAGG
rnacentral:rRNA from 1 species